rnacentral:rRNA from 1 species
UUGGUGGGGUAACGGCCCACCAAGGCGACGAUCAGUAGCCGGACUGAGAGGUUGACCGGCCACAUUGGGACUGAGAUACGGCCCAGACUCCUACGGGAGGCAGCAGUGGGGAAUAUUGGGCAAUGGGGGGAACCCUGAACGAGCAAUGCCGCGUGAAGGAAGAAGGCUUUCGGGUUGUAAACUUCUUUUGUCGGGGACGAAACAAAUGACGGUACCUGACGAAUAAGCCACGGCUAACUAC